rnacentral:rRNA from 1 species
AUUGAACGCUGGCGGCAGGCCUAACACAUGCAAGUCGAGCGGAUGAAGGGAGCUUGCUCCUGGAUUCAGCGGCGGACGGGUGAGUAAUGCCUAGGAAUCUGCCUGGUAGUGGGGGAUAACGUCCGGAAACGGGCGCUAAUACCGCAUACGUCCUGAGGGAGAAAGUGGGGGAUCUUCGGACCUCACGCUAUCAGAUGAGCCUAGGUCGGACUAGCUAGUUGGUGGGGUAAAGGCCUACCAAGGCGACGAUCCGUAACUGGUCUGAGAAGAUGAUCAGUCACACUGGAUUGGAGACGCGGUCCAGUCUCCUACGGGACGCGGCGGUGGCGAAUAUUGUACAAUGAGCGAAGGCCUGAUCCAGCCGCGCCGCGUGUGUGAAGAUGGUCUUCGGAUUGUAGAGCACUUUAAGUUGGGAGGAGGGGCAGUAGGUUAAUACCUUGCUGUUUUGACGUUACCAACAGAAUAAGCACCGGCUAACUUCGUG